AGUGGAAGCCGAGGGCCGCCGCGGUUGCAAGAACUGGGCUGUGGUGCACGCCGAAGCGAACCAUGGGCUAAUAGAGCGAAGGUAGUGCUUGGAGUUCGAAGGAAAGUUUGCCAGAGUUCACGUCUCGUGGGGAACUUCACUGUGUCGACGAUGGCCAGCCUCGUCGUCGAUUGUGUCGAUGGCCAGCCUCGUCGUUGAUUGAGCAUCGCGGCCAAGUCUGUUGUGACCGGGAUUCUUCAACACGUUCCACCUCGAGGUAUGGAUCCAAAUGCUAGCAGCAGCAUCUCUCAACUACUUCCGCGUGAUGCGAUGGUGCUGGGUACGUAGAUGUGCUUCCGCUCUCUGCUGCAUGCCGUUGUAGGCCAUCCUAUUGCCUCUCACGCCCUAAAACCGGGUCUCCGGCUAACCACCUAGCUUGCGGACAAACUCUCGCCGACGGAGGUUCACCAUGCCGCAUGGACAGCUUCGCCUUGCCUCCUAACCUUCGGUAAUGCCCCUUGGAUCGAUUCGACACCUUCUCUGCAUUGCUUAGCACCUAGUUACGCUUGGAAUCAAGCCCUGGCAUGAUAAUUGGGUGCUCCGCGGUCAUGGCGCCGCCGUGGGUAGGGCCGGCGUGCUGCCGUAUUCCGGCUGGGAGGAAGAAAACUGGCAGCCAUUGGAUUGGAAGUUGACGGUUAGGAUGGGUUAUGGGAAGGAUGUACCGUGGACCGUUGAUCGCGGAAUGGACGUAUCGGAUUAGAUUCACAUAUACCCGUUCGACUCAUUAAAUCCAGGGCGUAGAUCUUGGAUCCUAGGGCUCGGGUUGCGUACCGAUUUGUGCGCGGCCAGAUUUAAUCGUGACCUUUGGUUUGGAUCGGACGGCUCUGAAUCAACGAUACCCCUUCGCCCUGGCUUUCUUUCUAAAGAGACCCCGGAAAACUUGCUAUUCAACCCGCGGUCUAUCGCCUGGGUUCUCUGUGUCUUGGUGCACUUUGCGCCAGGGCCCCUGCACUUCCUAAUAUUAGUGGGCCCAGUCCAGAGUAUUAUAAAACAGAGAAAAUAAUUUAUAAAUGGGUUUUUAAUAGAUAAAUAAAUGCUAGAACUUGUUUAAAUCAUAGAAAAUCCAUUUUUAGUCCAAAUUAAUCCAUUCCACUUUCUAAAAUUUUGUAAUUUUAUUAUCUACCACCUAGAGCCUCUGUUUUGUCAUGAAAACAAUUAGAAAUUUAAUCUCUCACUUAAUCCAUUCUAAGCACAUAGAAUCUUUGGAAAUCCAUAACUUAAAAUCUAUAACUCCGAAAUUAAUGAUUCCUGUUCCUAUGAUCUUAUUUUAAUAUGUAUAUUAUUAAUGUGUAUUUUGUUCUUAUGUGUGGUGUAAUGUUAAUUUUGCCUAUACCAUGUUUGUUUGAAUUGCUACGACUAGCAGUGAGGUCACGAGUCACCUGAAGAUCAUCCUGGUACCUGGAAUCUCAAGUCCCAGGCAAGUUGUGCCCUUGAUCACUUCUUUUACCCACUCAUGUUCUAAUUAAUCAUAAUGAUCUGCAUAGGUUAAUUUGAUGGGACCUAAUAGGUUACCCUAGAUUGUCUAUCUUUAUACCUUGUUUACCACUGAACUUUUUGGGUAGUACUUGCUAGUGCUUUAUGUGGUUUUGGGUAUGAAGAUACAUUAUUCAUGAUCACACUUUUAUUAUCAGUUUAUUAUUACUGUUCAUGAUAAGAUCAUUAUGUUAAUUGGAACAUGGAGAACCACCCGGGAAAACAGUGCUACCACAAGGGAGGAAUGGGACCCCUUGGCUGAUUAAUUAGGAAAGCUAGUGGAAGACUACCUUACCCGAAAGGGGCAAGGGCAGUAGGGGAGUGGUCAUUGUAGGGAGGCCCUCGGGAGGAUUUUGCUGCAAUGGCGGUCCUGCAAGGGAUUCCUGCAUUGGAGCUUCCUAUAAACUGUAGCGGGUUUUCUGAAGCUAGUGGAACUUUGUAAAGGCAUCGUAGUGUUACCCUGCCUCGCCUCCUCGGUAGAGGUGUAUGGGAAGUCGCGAUCCCUUGGCAGAUGGGUAACAUGACUUGUGGGUAAAGAUGCGCAACCUCUGCAGAGUGUAAAACUGGUAUACUAGUCGUGCUCACGGUCAUGAGCAGCUCGGACCCUCACAUGAUUAAAUUAUGGAACUAAAUUCAAUUUGUCAUAUGCAUUGCAUCGCAGGUGAUGUUGUUACUACUUUUGUUCUACUACUUAAUUGGGGUAUUUACUUAUACUUAGUAAUUGCUAAUAAAAUUUUGACCAACUUUAAAAGCAAUGCUCAGCUUCAACCAUCCUCUUUGGUAAGCCUUACACUUCACGUGAGCUCCCACCUUUGGCGAGUUCAUGCACAUUAUUCCCCACAACUUGUUGAGCGAUGAACGUAUGUGAGCUCACUCUUGCUGUCUCACACCCCCACAGGUCAAAAACAGGUACCACAGGAUGAGGCGCAUGGAGGAUGCUGUGAUGAGUUCGUGAGAGGUCUAGGCCGUCAUCUCCCAGUCAACUUUGGGUUGCUGGACCGUUGUCUCCCUAUAAUGUAAUUAUUUAUUUUGUAUAGAAUUCCUGUUAUAUAUAAAGAUGUGACAUUCGAUCCUGUGCCAUUAUACAUCAUAUGUGUGAGACUUG
rnacentral:lncRNA from 1 species